CGACCUUUCUCGUAAGUCACAGGGUGUUCCUUCCAAAAGGAUAUUUUAUGGGUUAAGGUGUGAGUUCCCUCCUGCCACUGCACUUUCGGAAGGGGCCAGGGCCGUGGCUGGCAGUCUGGAGCAGUGGUGGAGAAGCCAGGGCCGGGAGGUGAGCCCCUGGAUUUGAACCCCAUUUCCCUUGCUCCCCUGCCAUGGGACCCUGGGCAGUAGUUCAGCCUCUCUGAGUUUCGGCUCAGUGAGAGCAGGUUGCGGAUGGCGGCUUCCUCACCCGGGGAGGGGGAGGGGGUGUGAGGAGCGGGAUGAAUUGCACACCAGUGUUUAGAAAAGCCCGAGGCUCACUGGAAGGGCUCAUCAGUGCUACAGUCUUUGUGCAUGAAGGGUUAGCAGGAAGGGCUCCUUUCAUUUAAGAGGCUUGUGGAAACACAAAGCUCGACCCUCAGCCACGAUCUGACAAUUUCAGCUCUGCUCCCGGGGGACGAAGGCUGCUCCUGUGUGAGGCAAGGCUUCGGGGGACCGUGUCCCAGGCUUCCCGAAUUGCCCUCCCCACCCCGCCAGCCCCUCUGUCGCCUGGACCGCAGAAGCACAGUCAGACCAAUGAGGGCCUUCUUCCGCUCUGUCUCGGCUUCCUUCUCCACCACCUUCUGCUUCUGGGCUGCGAUCAGGAGCUUCGUCUUCUCGCUUUCCCUGAAGGGGAGAAAAGUGUGCAGCUGUGAGGCCGCUGGGGACGAGCUUCCUCGGAACUUCCCUGGCCCCCGGGAAGCCAAGCCCCCUGCCCUGUCGUGAGAGCGUGAGCCGUGAAGGGAGCGCAAGACUCCCCGACCCUCUGAAGAGCGUCUGUGCCCUCUGGUCACGGAGUCCAGGUUCCCAUCAUGGACUGAAUUUGUAUGAGCCCCAAAAUCCACAUGCUGAAACUGGAGCCCCCAAAGUGAGUGCAUUUGGAGACAGGGCCUUUACAAAGGUGAUUAAGGUUGAAUGAGGUUAUAACGAUGGGGCCCUAAACUGACCGGACUGGUAAAGGGAAGAAGACAAAGGCACCAGAGAUCUCUUUCUCUCCCCACACAUGCACAGCGGAAAGGCCAUGUGAGGACACAGGAAAGCAGCCACCUGCAGGCCAGGAACCAACCUUGCUGGCACCCUGAUCUUGAACUUUGAGCUUCUGCAACCAUGAGAAAAAUAAAUGUCUAUUGUUUCAGCCACCCAGGCGAUGGUAUUCCACUAUGGCAGUCCAAGAUGACUAACAGUUUCCAUAACAUCUUUUAGAGCUGUUCUGUUGGAACCGGGCUCUGAUCAAGGUUCACCACUGCAUUGCUUAUGUCUUUAUGUCUCUUUUUCGACCCAAGCCCUCCAAAUACAAAGCCUUUGUGAUGAGAUCAGGCCAGCUAUCCUGUGGGAAAUUCCGAUUCUCUAUCUGUCCGAGCGUGUGGUUUACUUUGUUGCUCUGU